GUCACAGCCGGUGGGUGGCAGAGCGUGGAUUUCGAUACAGCUCAAAUCCUGAGCUAAGAGAAUAAAAUGAUUAUAUUUUGUUUCAUAUUUUUGUCACAGAUCAUUUUUUCCACAUGUAUGUGGUGUGUGACAACUACAUGUCUGUGUACAUGCACACUCUCAUACACACAUACACAUAUGGGUGCAUACACUGAUACAUAUACAUUCUCUUCCCUCUUGAACCGACUUCCUUCCCAAACCUCUGAUUUGUUGUGGAUGCUGUCAUGGGAUAAUCUUUGAUUCCUUCCUCCAUAUCGAUGACCUGAAUUAGGAUUCAAAAGAGUCUAUAACAUUCUAUUUGUGGAGAAAAGACUUUCAUGCAUGAAACUACAAUGCUUCUUCUAAGAGAUACAGGGCCAAAAUAAAGGAGUUUGUGGGAAAAAGAAAGAGAAAUGAGGAUUAACACCAUGGUCCUUCUCUGUUUGCAUACACACCUGGCACCUCUGCACGAAUGUAUUCUUUGUCAAAGGUAGAAAUAUUUUUGUAUUGGAACAAACCAGAACAUGUUCUUGUUGUUUUUCUGGGGGUGCUUCCCUGAUGUCCGACAGAACUGAAGUAUCAUCUUCCAUCACACCCACUUACAAAAUUGUAUGCUAUAAGCACCAAACACUAACACUCUCCCAUCAGAAGCAUCCUUCAGGCUUCAGAGUGGCCUGUGUCUGAAGUCCCUUAUCAUCCUCACUGUGUCAAUUACCCAUUAAUCAUCUCAAGUGUUCAGUUGCUGAAAGAACUCACAGGACUCACAGUUUAUACUCGCGGAAGAGUUUCAUCGCGGGCAAACCAUACUGUAUGGCCACAUGCAGAAAGGCUAGGCAUUGAGAGGGGUCCUGAUAUCAAAGCGCAGCCUUGUUUGUCCUCCCACUGUUGGGUUGCACAGUAUGCACAUGUCUCCAGGCCUCAAGCCACCACCAGUGUGUGUGUGUGAAGCAUGUUGGUACCAGGAAGAACGGGGCGAGGCGAGGUGAGGGGGACCUCUCAUAAUGUGCUGGUCACAUGCGCACUUUCUAGCUGUGCAACUAUCCUUAACCUUGGAAACUGGCCUCCCUGCUCCCCACAGGCUCCACCAAAACCAGUGCAUAUCAUAAACCCAAUGAUUAUUACUAAGCGAUGCUCACAGACUGGUAUAUCCGGCUCUGAAACAAUGGAUGGAUCCCGUGGUUACAGAAUGUCAUUUAUUGUUAGUUAAUAGAGUCCAUGGCACUGGGCAAGAGUCAGUAGCUCUGUGGAUACGCAUGUGGUCAGCAAAGACGAGCAGAAAUGAACCCAUGCUCGGUGCGGGCUGUCCUGCUUUCCUGAGCUCAGCUGCUCGAGUGUGUUUCAAGAAGAAUAAUAGUAAAAGCUGAAUGCCUCUGCCACUGAUCGCCGUCCCCUCAUGUCCUGAUUUAGUGAGAGCCACAGAGUGAUCCUGGCCACAUCUCAGAGGUCCUGGGGAGAUGGCAGUCAUCAAGUCAGACAAAAUCUCUGCUUUCAAGGAACUUAUAUUCUAGUGGAGGAAGACAGACAAUAAGCACAUUUAUAGUAUGUCGGUGGCGAAUGAAAACUAGGAAGAAAAAUAAAUCGAGGACACCAUACUGAUUCCAGCUGGGAACCAAGAUGAGUAAGAUGCAAUCCCUACCUCCAAGGAGGCCAAGACGGGAACAAGAACCUCUAGGUAUCAACUUCCACUUCUCUUCUCUGGAAAAUUUGAGGGCUGUCUCCAAACGGUGCUUCGAUUGCGAGUCAGAGGGAGAAGAAUGUUCAGGUCCCGUAAGCAGAAGCCCCCACAGAGUGUGUUUGCUGGUAACCAGCUUUUCUCAGGUUGUAAUGACUGAAGGUGAAUGAAGGAUUGAAGGCUUCGGGUGGAGAAUUAUCAAUCAGAUAGGGUGAAUAAACUCAAUUCCUCCAAAACACGAGCUAUUUCAAAGGUCACUGUCUUAAGAAAAAAUGUUGAUCAAUGGUCUCUUUCAGGAAAUCAACUCCGUUGAAAUAUAAUUUAUACUGCUUUUUACUUUUGUCUUCUUUCAGUGAAUUAAACUAUAGCCACCCUUAUUUCUUGAUUUGCAUUUCUCCUUAAUUAUUCUGAGCUAAGUUCUACCCUGCAGAGCUCCAGAAAAUGGAUAAAUUAUGCAUUUGAGUGUUGAACAGCAGCGGCAGACACCUACACACCAAACCCUGGCUGUGUGGGAUGCUGCCAUUUUCCCCAAGUCAUUUCAGGUCAGAAACACCUCUGUUCCCAAAGAAUAGCAUUUAGGGCCCCCACACAAGGUCUUUGUACGUACCGUAUAAUGUGAGAAUCAAGGGGCAGUAUAUUGUUCUGUACCCUUCCAAGAAUAAGUUCAAGGCUGUUUUCCUGACCCUACAGAGGCAU